UACGUAGGGUCCAAGCGUUAUCCGGAAUCACUGGGCGUAAAGCGUGCGUAGGUGGCGCGUUAAGUGUGAUGUUAAAUCGCGGGGCUCAACCCUGUCGAUGGCAUCGCAUACUGGCGUGCUAGAGGGAAGCAGAGGCAAGUGGAAUUGGUAGUGUAGCAGUGAAAUGCGUAGAUAUUACCAGGAACACCAAUGGCGAAGGCAGCUUGCUGGGCUUCUUCUGACACUGAGGUACGAAAGCGUGGGGAGCGAACAGG
rnacentral:rRNA from 1 species